UUAACAGGAUUAGAUACCCUGGUAGUCCACGCCGUAAACGAUGUCUACUUGGAGGUUGUGGCCUUGAGCCGUGGCUUUCGGAGCUAACGCGUUAAGUAGACCGCCUGGGGAGUACGGUCGCAAGAUUAAAACUCAAAUGAAUUGACGGGGGCCCGCACAAGCGGUGGAGCAUGUGGUUUAAUUCGAUGCAACGCGAAGAACCUUACCUACUCUUGACAUCCAGAGAACUUUCCAGAGAUGGAUUGGUGCCUUCGGGAACUCUGAGACAGGUGCUGCAUGGCUGUCGUCAGCUCGUGUUGUGAAAUGUUGGGUUAAGUCCCGCAACGAGCGCAACCCUUAUCCUUGUUUGCCAGCGAGUAAUGUCGGGAACUCCAGGGAGACUGCCGGUGAUAAACCGGAGGAAGGUGGGGAUGACGU
rnacentral:rRNA from 1 species